rnacentral:rRNA from 1 species
GAUGCUCAGCCCGGCGAUUUAAGCGGCAAAGCUCAAAUUUGAAAUCCCCCGGGAAUUGUAAUUUGAAGGUGGCCUCAGUUAGUCCAAACAUUCUUAAGUCCAUUGGAAAAUGGCGCCAUGGAGGGUGAUAGCCCCGUAAAGAUGUCGUUUGUUCUAUUUUCUCUGGCCACCAAAGAGUCGAGUUGUUUGGGAAUGCAGCUCUAAGUGGGUGGUAAAAUUCCAUCUAAAGCUAAAUAUUGGCGAGAGACCGAUAGCGAACAAGUACAGUGAUGGAAAGAUGAAAAGCACUUUGAAAAGAGAGUGAAAAAGUACGUGAAAUUGUUGAAAGGGAAGGGCUUGCAAGCAGACACAACCUCGUGUUGGGCCAGCAUCGGGGCGAGAGGAAGUAAAAACGAUUUGGAAAUGUAACUUUCGAGUAUUAUAGACCUUAUCCCUCCCUUCCAUCUCAUCCCGAGGCCUGCGGUUUAUCCUAGGAUGCUGGCGUAAUGGUUGCAAGUCGCCCGUC